GCUAAAUGCAGAGCAGGUGCCAACAGAAUUUAAAUGGGGAGAGUGGCUGCAAGGUGCAAAUUGAUUUUUUUAACUGUCCAUCCCAUGGAGGAUGUAGCAGUCUUCCCUGAAAAGGGCAGGACACAAGCCUUGGUUAUGUCCAAUUGCAGCUCAAUUAAGAGUAUAAAAGUGUUCCCCUGCAAGCAGGGCUUUCUUUUUUAUGAGCUGUUGGACAGAGAGAAGAGGAUGGAGCUAGUAAAGUGGAAAGGGACUCCCUUGGGCGGUAUGCUUACGAUGCUCUGUUGCUUCUUUUCUUUGGUCCUAAGGGCCUCUAACAGCUUUAAAGAUAUGUUUAUGCUGGGGAGACCAUUGCCUCCUUUGCUGCGGAUGGGAAAGCGUGCCUCUCGCCCUUCCUGCAAACAGCAUUGCAGUGAUUUCCCUUCUGAGUGCUGUGGGUUUGCUUUCACUGUAGUGCAUCAGCCUGUGUCUCAGAUACUAUGA
ensembl:lncRNA